GACGAACGCUGCCGGCGUGCUUAAUACAUGCAAGUAGACCGCUGAAGGAGAAGCUUGCUUCUCCGGAUGAGUUGCGAACGGGUGAGUAACGCGUAGGUAACCUGCCUGGUAGCGGGGGAUAACUAUUGGAAACGAUAGCUAAUACCGCAUAACAGUAGAUAUUGCAUGAUAUCUGCUUGAAAGGUGCAAAUGCAUCACUACCAGAUGGACCUGCGUUGUAUUAGCUAGUUGGUGAGGUAACGGCUCACCAAGGCGACGAUACAUAGCCGACCUGAGAGGGUGAUCGGCCACACUGGGACUGAGACACGGCCCAGACUCCUACGGGAGGCAGCAGUAGGGAAUCUUCGGCAAUGGACGGAAGUCUGACCGAGCAACGCCGCGUGAGUGAAGAAGGUUUUCGGAUCGUAAAGCUCUGUUGUAAGAGAAGAACGAGUGUGAGAGUGGAAAGUUCACACUGUGACGGUAUCUUACCAGAAAGGGACGGGUACU
rnacentral:rRNA from 1 species